GACGAACGCUGGCGGCGUGCCUAAUACAUGCAAGUAGAACGCUGAAGGAGGAGCUUGCUCUUCUGGAUGAGUUGCGAACGGGUGAGUAACGCGUAGGUAACCUGCCCGGUAGCGGGGGAUAACUAUUGGAAACGAUAGCUAAUACCGCAUAAGAGUAGAUGUUGCAUGACAUUUACUUAAAAGGUGCAAUUGCAUCACUACCAGAUGGACCUGCGUUGUAUUAGCUAGUUGGUGGGGUAACGGCUUACCAAGGCGACGAUACAUAGCCGACCUGAGAGGGUGAUCGGCCACACUGGGACUGAGACACGGCCCAGACUCCUACGGGAGGCAGCAGUAGGGAAUCUUCGGCAAUGGACGGAAGUCUGACCGAGCAACGCCGCGUGAGUGAAGAAGGGUUUCGGAUCGUAAAGCUCUGUUGUAAGAGAAGAACGAGUGUGAGAGUGGAAAGUUCACACUGUGACGGUAUCUUAACAGAAAGGGACGGCUAACUACGUG
rnacentral:rRNA from 1 species